rnacentral:rRNA from 1 species
AGAAGGUGGACUUGGACAUUGUAGUUUGAUAAAGACUACUUGUCUUAAAUGUAUUAGUAGUGCUAUUUGUUUAACUAUUAGCCUUGUGUGAUAAGUAUCUUCACUAGGUUGUUAUACAAGUGUUUAUGCUGCUUAUAACAGUCCAUUAACUUGGACAAAUCAACUGUCAACUUUGACCUCAAAUCAGGUAGGACUACCCGCUGAACUUAAGCAUAUCAAUAAGCGGAGGAAAAGAAACUAACAAGGAUUCCCCUAGUAACGGCGAGUGAAGAGGGAAGAGCUCAAAUUUUGAAUCUGGCAUCUUUGGUGUCCGAGUUGUAAUCUAGAGAAGUGUUUUCCGUGAUAGACCAUACAUAAGUUUCCUGGAAUGGAAUGUCAUAGAGGGUGAGAAUCCCGUUUGUGGUAUGGAUUACUAUUGCUCUGUGAUACACUCUCAACGAGUCGAGUUGUUUGGGAAUGCAGCUCAAAAUGGGUGGUAAAUUCCAUCUAAAGCUAAAUAUUGGCGAGAGACCGAUAGCGAACAAGUACCGUGAGGGAAAGAUGAAAAGCACUUUGGAAAGAGAGUGAAACAGUACGUGAAAUUGUUGAAAGGGAAACGCUUGAAGUCAGUCACACUCUUUAGGAUUCAGCCUUGCUUCUGCGUGGUGUACUUCCUGUUGAGUGGGUCAAUAUCAGUUUUGACCAAGGGAAAAAGACUUGAGAAAUGUGACAGUACUUGUGCUGUGUUAUAGUCUCUUGUUGUAUGUCUUGGUUGGGACUGAGGACUGCAGCAUGCCUUUAUGGCUGGGGUUUACCCACAUUCAUGCUUA